UCUUAAAANUUCGGGGCUUAACCCCGUGAUGGGAUGGAAACUGCUGAUCUAGAGUNUCGGAGAGGAAAGUGGAAUUCCUAGUGUAGCGGUGAAAUGCGUAGAUAUUAGGAAGANCACCAGUGGCGAAGGCGACUUUCUGGACGAAAACUGACGCUGAGGCGCGAAAGCCAGGGGAGCGAACGGGAUUAGAUACCCAGGUAGUCCUGGCCGUAAACGAUGGGUACUAGGUGUAGGAGGUAUCGACCCCUUCUGUGCCGGAGUUAACGCAAUAAGUACCCCGCCUGGGGAGUACGACCGCAAGGUUGAAACUCAAAGGAAUUGACGGGGGCCCGCACAAGCGGUGGAGUAUGUGGUUUAAUUCGACGCAACGCGAAGAACCUUACCAGGUCUUGACAUUGAUGGACAGAACCAGAGAUGGUUCCUCUUCUUCGGAAGCCAGAAAACAGGUGGUGCACGGUUGUCGUCAGCUCGUGUCGUGAGAUGUUGGGUUAAGUCCCGCAACGAGCGCAACCCCUAUCUUAUGUUGCCAGCACUUUGGGUGGGGACUCAUGAGAGACUGCCGCAGACAAUGCGGAGGAAGGCGGGGAUGACGUCAAAUCAUCAUGCCCCUUAUGACCUGGGCUACACACGUACUACAAUGGGAGUUAAUAGACGGAAGCGAGAUCGCGAGAUGGAGCAAACCCGAGAAACACUCUCUCAGUUCGGAUCGUAGGCUGCAACUCGCCUACGUGAAGUCGGAAUCGCUAGUAAUCGCAGGUCAGCAUACUGCGGUGAAUACGUUCCCGGGCCUUGUACACACC
rnacentral:rRNA from 1 species